GCCAGACUCCUAUGGGAGGCAGCAGUGGGGGAUAUUGCACAAUGGGGGGAACCCUGAUGCAGCGACGCCGCGUGGGUGAAGGAGCGUUUCGGCGCGUAAAGCCCUAUCGGCAGGGAAGAAGGAGGACGGUACCUGACUAAGAAGCCCCGGCUAAAUACGUGCCAGCAGCCGCGGUAAUACGUAUGGUGCAAGCGUUAUCCGGAUUUACUGGGUGUAAAGGGAGCGCAGGCGGCGCGUUAAGCCUGGUGUGAAAGCCCGCGGCCCAACCGCGGGACUGCAUUGGGAACUGGCGCGCUGGAGUGCCGGGGGGGUAGGCGGAAUUCCUAGUGUAGCGGUGAAAUGCGUAGAUAUUAGGAGGAACACCAGUGGCGAAGGCGGCUUACUGGACGGUAACUGACGUUGAGGCUCGAAAGCGUGGGGAGCAAACAGGAUUAGAUACCCUAGUAG
rnacentral:rRNA from 1 species